UACAGAGGUCUCAAGCGUUGUUCGGAUUCAUUGGGCGUAAAGGGUGCGUAGGUGGCGCUGUAAGUCGGGUGUGAAAUUUCGGAGCUUAACUCCGAAACUGCAUUCGAUACUGCGGUGCUUGAGGACUGGAGAGGAGACUGGAAUUCAUGGUGUAGUAGUGAAAUGCGUAGAGAUCAUGAGGAAGACCAGUGGCGAAGGCGGGUCUCUGGGCCGAUACUGACGCUGAGGAGCGAAAGCGUGGGGAGCGAACAGG
rnacentral:rRNA from 1 species